ACGGAAGGCAGCAGUGAGGAAUAUUGGUCAAUGGGCGAGAGCCUGAACCAGCCAAGUAGCGUGCAGGAUGACGGCCCUAUGGGUUGUAAACUGCUUUUAACCGGGAAUAACGUUACCUUCGUGAAGGUAAGUGCAUGUACCGGUUGAAUAAGGAUCGGCUAACUCCGUGCCAGCAGCCGCGGUAAUACGGAGGAUUCGAGCGUUAUCCGGAUUUAUUGGGUUUAAAGGGAGCGUAGGCGGGAAGUCAAGUCAGCUGUGAAAUGUAGACGCUCAACGUCUGCACUGCAGUUGAAACUGGUUUUCUUGAGUGCGUAAGAGGCAGGCGGAAUUCGUCGUGUAGCGGUGAAAUGCUUAGAUAUGACGAAGAACUCCUAUUGCGAAGGCAGCUGACUGUAGCGUAACUGACGCUGAAGCUCGAAGGUGCGGGUAUCGAACAGGAUUAGAUACCCUGGUA
rnacentral:rRNA from 1 species